rnacentral:rRNA from 1 species
GCGGCGAACGGGUGAGGAACACGUGAAGAAUCUGCCUUCAACUCUGGGAUAACUCCGGGAAACCGGGGCUAAUACCGAAUAUGAGCCUUGAUCGCAUGAUCGGGGCUGGAAAGUUUUUCGGUUGAAGAUGACUUCGCGGCCUAUCAGCUUGUUGGUGAGGUAAUGGCUCACCAAGGCGACGACGGGUAGCCGGCCUGAGAGGGCGACCGGCCACACUGGGACUGAGACACGGCCCAGACUCCUACGGGAGGCAGCAGUGGGGAAUAUUGGGCAAUGGAGGAAACUCUGACCCAGCGACGCCGCGUGCGGGAUGAAGGCCUUCGGGUUGUAAACCGCUUUCAGCAGGGAAUAAGCGCAAGUGAAGGUACCUGCAGAAGAAGCACCGGCUAACUAUGUGCCAGCAGCCGCGGUAAUACAUAGGGUGCGAGCGUUGUCCGGAAUUAUUGGGCGUAAAGAGCUCGUAGGUGGUUUGUUACGUCGGUUGUGAAAUUCAGGGGCUCAACCCCUGACUUGCAGCCGAUACGGGCAAGCUAGAGUUUGGUAGGGGAGACUGGAAUUCCUGGUGUAGCGGUGGAAUGCGCAGAUAUCAGGAGGAACACCGAUGGCGAAGGCAGGUCUCUGGGCCAAUACUGACACUGAGGAGCGAAAGCGUGGGGAGCGAACAGGAUUAGAUACCCUGGUAGUCCACGCCGUAAACGGUGGGCGCUAGUUGUGCGAACCUUCCACGGUUUGUGCGACGCAGCUAACGCAUUAAGCGCCCCGCCUGGGGAGUACGAUCGCAAGAUUAAAACUCAAAGGAAUUGACGGGGCCCCGCACAAGCAGC